rnacentral:rRNA from 1 species
UACGGGGGGAGCAAGCGUUGUUCGGAUUUACUGGGCGUAAAGGGCGCGUAGGCGGUCGUGACAAGUCACUUGUGAAAUCUCCGGGCUUAACUCGGAACGGUCAAGUGAUACUGUCGGACUAGAGUACAGAAGGGGCAACUGGAAUUCUCGGUGUAGCAGUGAAAUGCGUAGAUAUCAGGAGGAACACCUGCGGCGAAGGCGGGUUGCUGGGCCGACACUGACGCUGAGGCGCGAAAGCCAGGGGAGCGAACGGG